UACGAAGGGUGCAAGCGUUACUCGGAAUUACUGGGCGUAAAGGGUGCGUAGGCGGUUCGUUAAGUCGGAUGUGAAAGCCCUGGGCUCAACCUGGGAAUGGCAUCCGAAACUGCCGUUCUUGAGUGUCGGAGAGGGUGGUGGAAUUCCCGGUGUAGAGGUGAAAUUCGUAGAGAUUGGGAGGAACACCAGUGGCGAAGGCGGCUUUCUGGACGACAACUGACGCUGAGGCGCGAAAGCGUGGGGAGCGAACAGG
rnacentral:rRNA from 1 species